rnacentral:rRNA from 1 species
UGAGGAAUAUUGGGCAAUGCCCGCAAGGGUGACCCAGCAACGCCGCGUGGAGGAUGAAUGUCGUAAGAUUGUAAACUCCUGUUAGAGGGGAAGAAUAGUACCGGUUGGACCGGUAUAUGACUGUACCCUCAGAGAAAGCCCCGGCUAACUGCGUGCCAGCAGCCGCGGUAAUACGUAGGGGGCAAGCGUCGUCCGGAUUUACUGGGUGUAGAGGGCGCGCAGGCGGGAUAAAAAGUCAGUGGUGAAAUCCUACAGCUUAACUGUGGAACUGCCUUUGAUACUUUUAUUCUUGAGUUCGGGAGAGAGAGACGGAAUUCCAGGUGUAGUGGUGAAAUACGUAGAUAUCUGGAAGAACACCAGUUGCGAAGGCGGUCUCUUGGUCCGACACUGACGCUGAGGCGCGAAAGCGUGGGGAGCAAACA